UGUAGGUUUGUGGACUUGUGAAAAUAUUAACCCUACAAGUACAAAGAUAGGGGACUGUCCCUGACGAUGGUGAGCAUGCUCACUCUCAUGUGAGAAGCCUAAAGUCGUUACAAUGGUCACCCACCUUAAAUAACUCGGGUUAAUAAGUUCUAAAAGAGUCCACAGACUUUUUU
rnacentral:other from 1 species